rnacentral:rRNA from 1 species
GUUAGUCGGCCCCUAAGGCGAGGCUGAGAAGCGUAGUCGAUGGGAAACGGAUUAAUAUUUCCGUACUUGUAAUUAUUGCGAUGGGGGGACGGAGAAGGCUAGGCUAGCUGGGCGUUGGUUGUCCCAGUUUAAGGUUGUAGGCUGAGAACUUAGGCAAAUCCGGGUUCUUAAGGCCGAGAGCUGAUGACGGUGACUCUACGGAGUCCGAAGUAGUCGAUGCCAUGCUUCCAGGAAAAGCCUCUAAGCUUCAGAUAAUUACAAACCGUACCCUAAACCGACACAGGUGGUCAGGUAGAGAAUACCAAGGCGCUUGAGAGAACUCGGGUGAAGGAACUAGGCAAAAUGGUACCGUAACUUCGGGAGAAGGUACGCCGGUCGAUGUGAAGGACUUGCUCCGUAAGCAUUGAUCGGUCGAAGAUACUAGGUGGCUGCGACUGUUUAUUAAAAACACAGUACUCUGCAAACACGAAAGUGGACGUAUAGGGUAUGACGCCUGCCCGGUGCCGGAAGGUUAAUUGAUGGGGUUAGCUUCGGCGAAGCUCUUGAUCGAAGCCCCGGUAAACGGCGGCCGUAACAAUAACGGUCCUAAGGUAGCGAAAUUCCUUGUCGGGUA